UACCAGCACCCCGAGUGGUCGGGACGAUUAUUGGGCCUAAAGCAUCCGUAGCCGGUUUUACAAGUCCCCCGUUAAAUCCAGCUGCUUAACAGAUGGGCUGCGGAGGAUACUAUAAGACUAGGAGGCAGGAGAGGCAAGCGGUACUCAGUGGGUAGGGGUAAAAUGCGUAGAUAUCGGGAGGAACACCAGUGGCGAAGGCGACUACCUGGCCUGUUCUUGACGCUGAGGCGCGAAAGCUAGGGGAGCAAACGGG
rnacentral:rRNA from 1 species